UCUCUUUCUCCCGCGUUUUUCUUCCUCUCCUCGGCUCUCUCUGCAACUCCGGCCAUCUCCCUCUUCCGGCCACCUGGGAGCGAACAAGCAGCACCGGUCGACUCCUCUACCCCUACCCAACCUCCCCACGGCGGUAACUCACGGCGACUUGGCCGGAAAAUGACGCAUCGGGUCCUUGAAGUUUCACUGUAGCAGAAGUGGUCAACUCUGAUAUCUUCCCUUUCCGGCCGUCUCCGGCCACCAAACCGGCGUCGAAGGUUCGGUUUUUGGCAAGGAUCAUUUUGCCCCUAGCCUCAAGCCACGAUUUGCAGCGUGGAGGAAGAAUCGAAGGGCGAUGUACCGAGCUAUUGCUCGACGAAGGAACUCGUAUGCAUGGUCGCCUAAAUAGUACUUUUGCAGGCCAGUUUAGCUUGAGGUCGAGCGUACUUGGGGUUGAGGCAUAGCUGUCAUAGCUUCCGCAUUAUAAAAGCAUCGGUCAUUUAUCUUGCUUUCUAUUCUCUUGUUCGCCUGUACAUUAGAUUGCUCUGAUAACCUAUGAGAUUAAUAUUCUUAAAUUCAGAAUUGUUUAUGAAAUGAGAGAUGUGAGAUGUUGUGAUAUAGGGAGCAGGGUGGCUCCAGUAGAAUAAGGAUGGAUGAUUUAGAAGUGUGGAUGUUUUUCUACAGGUUUUGGGUUGUCCAUUUUUAGGGGAAGUUCUGUCAAAUUUUUGGUAGAAUUUCUUCUAAAGUGGGCCCCGCAGGGCCUCUUCGGAUUUCAGGGUGAAAUCCGGGGCGGGUCCUGUCAGUUGGUAUCAGAGCGUUAGGUUGUAAGAUUCUGUAGACUUGUUUCGAUCUAGUUACCUUAUAUGCUUGAUGUUGCUCAGUACCUCCCGAGUGAUGGCCCGACUGCAGCGGUUCCCCAUCGUUUACUCUUCGGUGCUGAAGUAUUCAUCAAGUAUGUAAGGUACGUGGUUAGUUGAUUUUCCUUCAGGUGCUAUGCCUCUUAUACGCCGACCUCAUAGGGAUUUGUCUGCAUAUCAGAUUGUUUAAGUGUCUUGCACCUUUUCAUGGGGAUGGUGAUGUUAGAUUACCUUACAGGGUUGAGUUAUGC